rnacentral:rRNA from 1 species
GAUGAACGCUGGCGGCGUGCCUAAUACAUGCAAGUCGAGCGAACAGACGAGGAGCUUGCUCCUCUGACGUUAGCGGCGGACGGGUGAGUAACAUGUGGAUAACCUACCUAUAAGACUGGGAUAACUUCGGGAAACCGGAGCUAAUACCGGAUAAUAUAUUGAACCGCAUGGUUCAAUAGUGAAAGACGGUUUUGCUGUCACUUAUAGAUGGCUCCGCGCCGCAUUAGCUAGUUGGCAAGGUAACGGCUUACCAAGGCAACGAUGCGUAGCCGACCUGAGAGGGUGAUCGGCCACACUGGAACUGAGACACGGUCCAGACUCCUACGGGAGGCAGCAGUAGGGAAUCUUCCGCAAUGGGCGAAAGCCUGACGGAGCAACGCCGCGUGAGUGAUGAAGGUCUUCGGAUCGUAAAACUCUGUUAUUAGGGAAGAACAAAUGUGUAAGUAACUAUGCACGUCUUGACGGUACCUAAUCAGAAAGCCACGGCUAACUACGUG